UGGGGGAUAUUGCACAAUGGGCGAAAGCCUGAUGCAGCGACGCCGCGUGGGGGAUGAAGGCCUUCGGGUUGUAAACUUCUUUUGCUCUGAACAAGGCAUGCUUUUGGGGUGUGUUGAGUGUAGGGGUUGAUUAGCGCCGGCUAACUACGUGCCAGCAGCCGCGGUAAUACGUAGGGCGCGAGCGUUGUCCGGAAUUAUUGGGCGUAAAGGGCUUGUAGGUGGCUGGUUGCGUCUGUCGUGAAAGCUCAUGGCUUAACUGUGGGUUUGCGGUGGGUACGGGCUGGCUUGAGUGCAGUAGGGGAGGCUGGAAUUCCUGGUGUAGCGGUGGAAUGCGCAGAUAUCAGGAGGAAUACCGGUGGCGAAGGCGGGUCUCUGGGCUGUUACUGACGCUGAGGAGCGAAAGCGUGGGGAGCAAACAGG
rnacentral:rRNA from 1 species